rnacentral:snRNA from 1 species
GCCACUACCUUUGAGGACAUCCAAUAAAAUUGAAAUAAUACGGUAAAAAUUAGCACGACCCCUACGUAAGAUGACACUAGCUCCCAAAAAUAUGUAUUUUUUUUUU